GACAGAGGAGCCAAGCGUUGUCCGGAUUGACUGGGCGUAAAGCGCACGCAGGCGGUCGCGCGCGUGGGGUGUGAAAUCUGGCCGCUUAACGGCCAGGCGCCAUCCCAUACGGCGCGACUGGAGUGAUGCAGAGGUCGAUGGAAUUGCCGGUGUAGUGGUGAAAUGUGUAGAGAUCGGCAGGAACACCCAGGGGGAAACCAGUCGACUGGGCAUCUACUGACGCUGAGGUGCGAGAGCGUGGGGAGCGAACCGG
rnacentral:rRNA from 1 species